ensembl:lncRNA
GUUUGAAGCUGGGGCAAGAAGCAGUGAUUCUAACAUCCUCUUCAGCAUUACCCAGCUCCAUCUCACAUCUCCUUCUGGCCACACAGCUCCUGUCGCAGUGAUUCCAACAUCCUCUUCAGCAUUACCCAGCUCCAUCUCACAUCUCCUUCUGGCCACACAGCUCCUGUCGCAGUGAUUCCAACAUCCUCUUCAGCAUUAGCCAGCUCCAUCUCACAUCUCCUUCUGGCCCACACAGCUCCUGUCGCAGUGAUUCCAACAUCCUCUUCAGCAUUAGCCAGCUCCAUCUCACAUCUCCUUCUGGCCCACACAGCUCCUGUCACAGUGAUUAUGGAGGCAACAGUUGUGCCGUAAUUAGGAUCCUCCUGGGCAGGCCAAUCUCAGGAUGCCAGCUGCUCCAUCGCCAGAAACAUCUCCUUGGCAUCCCUUCCUCCUUGGCAUUCUUGCUCUCUCCCAGAUCCUACCCUGUCCUUCCAGCUGCUGGAGUCAAUAAGUUAGGCUGAGACCAAGUGGACAAAAUUCUCCUCUACCCCAAAGCCAAGGUUAUUUGUUUUCCUGAUUCACUGGGAGCAGCCUCAGCUCAAGACCCAGUGGAAAGGUGCUGGGGUGUCACUCAUUCUCAGUGACUCUUUGGUUGAAGGGCCAGAUUAUGGAACCGCUCCUCACUGUUACCACCAAUACUACGUGUGCCAGUUCAAGACUUGUGCCCAACUUUGGUGCCCAUAUGUACAGACGGAUGGACCCAGUUUAUCUACAGUUGCACACGUGGCCCCAAAAGAGGCCACAGCCUUUUUCAAUCUUGUUCAGCCUUGGGGUCGGGGAAACAAACCUGACAUUGACAUGGGCGUUGACUUUUCCCUUGGUGCCUAAACAAGAAUGACACGUGCCUUUCCCUCCCUACCUUUUAUACUUCAUCCCUCACUCCCUUUCUUCCCAGCUUGCUCUUUCUACUGCAUCAGGUUAAUAGAGUGUUAUUUCCAUGAAAGCAAACCUGCUAAAAGCUUCAAAAAUCUUGCAAGAAAUUGUUAUUGUGAUUCAAUCUUUCAAAUUUUGCCAUGUUAAUAAUCUCUUUAGACUCAUAAAGAGCUUAUUGGAACCAACAUUGGAAUUAAUUGAAUUUGUAGCCUCACCAAACAGAGCCGGCGACUCUAUUAUUAGUAUUAAGAUAAUUAUGGUAGGUUUUGAUAUUUUUGCAUUCUUUAUAUUAAAGG